rnacentral:rRNA from 1 species
UACGAAGGGGGCUAGCGUUGUUCGGAAUUACUGGGCGUAAAGGGCGCGUAGGCGGCCUCGUCCGUCCGGCGUGAAAUGCCUGGGCUCAACCUAGGAAUUGCGCUCGAUACAGCGAGGCUAGAGUGUGGGAGGGGUUGGUGGAAUUCCCAGUGUAGAGGUGAAAUUCGUAGAUAUUGGGAAGAACACCGGUGGCGAAGGCGGCCAACUGGACCACAACUGACGCUGAGGCGCGUAAGCGUGGGGAGCAAACAGG